rnacentral:snRNA from 1 species
AACUUUGCGCAGUGGCAGUAUCGUAGCCAAUGAGGUUUAUCUGAGGCACGAUUAUUGCUAAUAUAAAAACAAUAACCAUCAAACCCAAAUGUGGGGCAGUCUAUAAAACAGCCACCAAUAAUCCUGAAAACUGUCAAGGUUAUAAAAAAG